CCCUUAGAUGCUCGGGGCCGCACGCGCGCUACACUGAAGGAAUCAGCACGUCUUUCUCCUUGUCCGAAAGGACUGGGUAACCCGCUGAACCUCCUUCGUGCUAGGGAUUGGGGCUUGUAAUUCUUCCCCAUGAACGAGGAAUUCCCAGUAAGCGCGAGUCAUAAGCUCGCGUUGAUUACGUCCCUGCCCUUUGUACACACCGCCCGUCGCUACUACCGAUUGGAUGGUUUAGUGAGAUCCUCGGAUUGGUCCCGGCGCGGCCUCUGGUCGUGCCGGAGUGCCGAAAAGAAUGUCGAACUUGAUCAUCUAGAGGAAGUAAAAGUCGUAACA
rnacentral:rRNA from 1 species